ensembl:lncRNA
GUCAGUGUAAAACGGACUCCUAAGCUGUGGAAGUGUUUAGGCUGUGUUCACCCAUCCUAGUGGUAACUUAGCUGAUAAUGCCCUGCUGGAAGUAUGGUCAUGCUGCUCAGUCCUUUGUAACAGUGGAGAGAGGGGUCUUGGGACCACAUGAGCUAGCUUGGUGCCUGGUGCUAGAAGGGGUCUAUGAAUUUCAUCAAGGGAACAAACAACUGUCUCGAGAACAUCAGGUUGAAAAUGUUGUCCAGUUUGCAGGAAAAGCUUUUUUAGAACUGUAUUAGUUGUUUAACCCAGGCUGUUUCGGCUGGUGCCUCCAGUGCUCCUCUGUAUAGGCAGACAUACUCAUCACCACUGACGUUUCCCUCUUUCCAGUGGGUUUACAGGGAAGAGACUGGGCAAGGAGACAACUAAAACCUGCACUGCAUGUCCUGUGGGAUGGAGACAUCCUCCCCGUACCUCCCUGGGGCCUCCUUCAGUUGAGGCACACUGUCCAGGUGGCCAUAUCACUCACCUGAAGUGAGGGAGGGGUUGGCUCUGGGGGUGCUGGGGAAGCUGGUAACACAGCAUGCUGUCAUGUCUCAUAGGUUGAUCAUGAUCAUUGCUUGAUCAUGAUUCCAAUAGGAAAGGAGCCUCUGACAGAGGGUGGAACAGAAGCUGAUAUUUUUAUUUGUACUGUAGAGGUUUGAUUUGGUAGUGUUUUGGUGGAUGGAAGGAUGGAGGUUUCUUCUACAGCAUCAGGGUCCAGUCCUUCGUCUUAUUUUGCCUGCUUUAUUUUCUGUAAAGCAGAGCUUUUCCAGUGUCUCAUUUUGGUGAGAAAAGCAAAUACAAAGGAAAUCUGAACUCAGCUCAGUCUGAAUCAAAUUGGUGUGUAACUUGGCCUCCCAACUGAAAUAUCAACUAUCUCCACAGUCCUAAAGGAAACAGUCAUCUUGAUUUGAGGUGGACUGCAUAAAGCCAACAGUUUCAAUGGACUACUUCAGGCAUUAAUGUUAAUAUCUGAGCAGCUGUUACGAGGAGAAAGAUGAGUAGCAUCUACCAGGUUCUGUCCAUGAUUUGAAAGGCAGUCAUACAAAUUAAUUAGCCAUGGCAUCGCUGAAUGCUCAUAUGUAUUUGUUCCUUAAUAGUCCUCUCCGUUUUGUUUUGUAAGUACUUCUACAUUCCUCCUACUUCAAUGUCAUGCUGCUUGCCAGCAUCCUACUUGUGCUCAAAAUGGCUAAGAUUUGUUUUCCGAAAUGUCAGCAUUUCCAGGUGUCAAUUUUCUUCCCUUUUCAGAUGCAGAAGUGCCAGUGGAAGGUUGGCUCUCAUUUUCUGGCUCUGCUGUGAAUUAUGUUCAACCUUUCCUUAAGAAAGUUUGUGUUUCAGAACAGCUCAUUUAAAAAAACCUGACCCAAGCCUCCCAACAAGAUAGUUGAUGGCAGAAAAAGCUUUCUGCUUACAUUUGAAAGCUCUUCAAGAGGAGGAAUGCAAAGGGACUGACAAAUUCACAGUUCUCCUCCAUGCCCCUUCUUCAUGCCAACGUAUUUCUGUUUUCCACUUCUGAUCACGAAUUAGUAGUUCAGUAACUGACCCAGUAGUAUUUUGGACUAUUAUUCUAUUUGGGUCUGCUUUCACCUAAAUAACAACCAUCUGGUGGUGUCUCGAAUCAGAUUCGUCUGAUGGACUGUGUAUAAUAACCAGUUCAAGGAUUGUCAGGGGAAGGGUUAACAUUCUUGCCCUGAGCAGAAGGACCGCAGCUGCAUGCCGUAAACUUAGCACAAAGAUUGUCAGGGUAGAAGGCCUGGGUCAGCUGUAAAGAAUUAAGCAAAUCCCCCUACUACAAGAACAGGGAAGGAGAAGGGUGGAAUUAAGAAGUCUCUUUCUGUUCUUGCAUUUGGCUCAUGGUGAAACAGAUAACUGAGAACUCUUGAGGCAUACCUUGACCUUUAGCCUCUGUGCAUUUUUUCCUCAUAGAUGGCCUUGCUCCUUGAUCUUAAAGAACCUGGAAAUCUGUAUCCUCUCUUUCAAGCUAACAUUGCAUCUCUAAAGGGAAGAUGGGAGUUUACUCCACUGAAAGAUUCACUUCUUCAAGAACAAGACUGAAGCGUAAACAUGCCUUGUUUUCUCCAGAUGUUACAUCCUAUUUCAUAACAAACAAAUUCCAAAACACAGGUUUCCCUGGGAAGUUUAUCACAGAAAGACAAGGAAAUGGAAGAUUCUUCUGUUACAGCAAACCAUGGGAGAGCUGGAAAUACAGCUAUGUGUCAUGUUGAGUGUACAGGCUGGCCAAAUCUGAAGUGCUUGUUCUGAGGCCAAAUCCAGGUGCUUGUUGUUUGUUGGAAGGCUGCUGCAUCUCUUGUGUCUUCGGAGGAACUGCCUCAGGGAGCAGCAGACUACUCGAACCUUAGCUCCUGCUUCCCCUGACUUGUGUGAGC